GUCUACGGCCAUGCCACCCUGAACAAGUCCGAUCCCUUCUGAUCUCAGAAGCUAAGCAGGUUAGUACUUGGAUGGGAGACCACCUAGGAAGACCAAGUGCUGUAGGUG
rnacentral:rRNA from 1 species